ensembl:miRNA
AAUAACCCCAUGUUAAGGCCUGCAGAACUUGCUUGAUCUAUUGGGUUGGCCAAAAAGUUCAUUAGGGUUUUUCCUUAGUCCCAAACGAACUUUUUGGCCAAUCCAAUCCAAUCUGUUGGGCUUCC